UGGGGGAUAUUGCACAAUGGGCGAAAGCCUGAUGCAGCGACGCCGCGUGGGGGAUGAAGGCCUUCGGGUUGUAAACUUCUUUUGCUCUGAACAAGGCAUGCUAAUGGGUGUGUUGAGUGUAGGGGUUGAUUAGCGCCGGCUAACUACGUGCCAGCAGCCGCGGUAAUACGUAGGGCGCGAGCGUUGUCCGGAAUUAUUGGGCGUAAAGGGCUUGUAGGUGGCUGGUUGCGUCUGUCGUGAAAGCUCAUGGCUUAACUGUGGGUUUGCGGUGGGUACGGGCUGGCUUGAGUGCAGUAGGAGAGGCUGGAAUACCUGGUGUAGCGGUGGAAUGCGCAGAUAUCAGGAGGAAUACCGGUGGCGAAGGCGGGUCUCUGGGCUGUUACUGACACUGAGGAGCGAAAGCAUGGGGAGCGAACAGG
rnacentral:rRNA from 1 species